AGUGAACGCUGGUGGUAGGCCUAACACAUGCAAGUCGAACGGCAGCACAGUAAGAGCUUGCUCUUACGGGUGGCGAGUGGCGGACGGGUGAGGAAUACAUCGGAAUCUACUUUUUCGUGGGGGAUAACGUAGGGAAACUUACGCUAAUACCGCAUACGACCUACGGUUGAAAGCAGGGGAUCUUCGGACCUUGCGCGAUUGAAUGAGCCGAUGUCGGAUUAGCUAGUUGGCGGGGUAAAGGCCCACCAAGGCGACGAUCCGUAGCUGGUCUGAGAGGAUGAUCAGCGACACUGGAACUGAGACACGGUCCAGACUCCUAAGGGAGGCAGCAGUGGGGAAUAUUGGACAAUGGGCGCAAGCCUGAUCCAGCCAGACCGCGUGGGUGAAGAAGGCCUUCGGGUUGUAAAGCCCUUUUGUUGGGAAAGAAAAGCAGCAGGUUAAUACCCCGCUGUUCUGACGGUACCCAAAGAAUAAGCACCGGCUAACUUCGUG
rnacentral:rRNA from 1 species